UGCAGCUGCAGGACGGGCGGUUCGAGCAGGCCCUGCGGGAGCAGCGGGAUGAGAUCCACCUGCUCCUGGAGAGGAUGGAGGAGCAGACCAGGAAUGUGCUCCAAACCCUCCGGAGCAACCUCCGGCACAUCGAGGAGGCUUUGGAGCAGGAACGGCGGGAAAUGCUGGAGAGCGGCAGGAAAAGGUGGAAUGAGACCAUCCGGGCCCACAACGAGCGGCAGCUGGAAUGGCUGCGGGGCCG